GGGCUUGGAUCUCGGCGUCGCCUCCCCCGAUACGCCUGCGACGUCGUCGUCGCCUCCCUCCCUUUGAGACCACCACCAGAACUGGUCGACGAUGGCAGUCGCGUCCAUCUCUUCUUUACGGUCCAUCACGCUAAUGAGCAUAGGUGGACUACCCACCACGGCUUCCUCCCCACCAACGGCGAGCGUGGUGUCCCAUCUCUACUAUGCUGGUACAAUACUUUCCUCAUAUCCAUCUUGGUGGAAACCCGAUGUAGGCGAGAUCUUCCUUACCAAGGUUGUUAAUCUUUUCUUCUCUGCUCGAUGAGAACUCAUGGUGCGCGUUGUCCAGUUGUCCGUAUGAAGGCAGAUUUCCCCUUCCACCGAGUUACUACUGAGCGUGUUCCUUGUUUUUUUUCCUUUUCCUACCAAAUUGAUGCAGGUGCUAUUAGUGAAAGGACUGGAGACUGGUUCUUGCGGUGGUUGGUUUGUUUGAGGAAUUCCUAGUGCUUGUGAUUUGUAAAGGGUUUCAGCCAGGUUAGUGUAUAUUUCAUUUUGUUAUCUUAAUAUGCAAGUAUAUGUGCCCACUUCAUUUGCUUGUAUCCAUCCUUUUUAGUACAUGGAUCGGUCUUUAUUUAUUCAGGUUCAGACAUUGCGCAACUGAAGACUGCGUAUACUAGUCGAAGGCACGAGCUAUGCACGUGUUCUUCACUCACUCAUCUGUUUAUUUGAGCAACAUUUAUUUUCAGAUGGGAGUAGUAUGUAUGCCAUUGAGUGUUUAAUCCCGUCCAAAGGAUUGGCAAGUUGCUGCUUCGAAACUUGGUAGAUACAAACGAUUAGUGCUCUAUACAAGCUAGUUGUUUACGGAGUAGAAGGAAGGUUACUCUAGUCAUUGUUGUUUCCCGAUCAUAGCCACAAAAUAUCUUGAAUAGCAUAAUUUCACCAGUGGGCCCAUUUGGAGCUGUCAGGAUUCCAGAAAGGUCCUGUUGUUGUUUUGGCGCUUGCCCGUACAUAGCGAAUCUAAGAAAUGUCAACCAUUAGAUCUCUUGGGCAAGGUACUAAUGAACGGUGGAUAUAUUCAUUUUAUGGAACAAAUCAAUGACUUGUAUUUGCUCUCGAGUCUGCGCGGACUGCUAAUCCAAAUUCAAAAACUUGUUUACUAUAGUAGUAGGGAAAUGUAGCGCUCUAUAAAGUUUUUGGUGCCUCCAUCUGAAAGAGAUAAAUUUAUAGACAUGAGUGUGGAUUUGAUAUUAAAAAUUUCUCUACAAAAGUACCUACUUUCCUGCCCUGAUUUACCAUCUAGCUAAUUGUUUCAUAGGAGUUCAAUAAUGAGGUAACAUUUUCUCUCUCAAAGUUGUGCUUGAAUGUACCAAUGAAGAAGCUCUUCACAACUCUAAUUCUUGGUGCCAAUGGGAAUUCUUCCAUUUACAAUGAUUAAGUUCUCUUUGUGCUAAUUCUUGAUGUUAAAAGAAAACAAACUUUAACUAAUGAACAUGUAGUUGGAAUGAACAAGUACCCUUGUUUAUCUCCAUUGAUUGAUUGAUGUGAGAUCAUUUAGUUCACUCAUCAUCAUGCACGUAUACUUGUACAUGUAAGAAAAGCAAUCAGAUAGAGAAUCUCUUUCUGCCUCUUCUCUGUUUGCUACAAAUAUAGACUGAAAGUGGAGUACUGCUUCUAGAGUUUAAAGAUUUGAGCUUGCAAAAGUGUUUGUUCUCUGAUAUGAAGUUUAUUAUUUAUGUUAUGUGAAAGUUAUUGUCUGAAUGUGAUAUACCCAUAUAUUAUAUAAAGAACAAGUUCAUAUAGGUACCAAAAAUUAUGCUUAAAAUUUCAUGCCAUCUAAUAGAUAAUAGUUUUUGUAUACUUUUCAACUUCGCAAGCAUUGCAGUAACUUUAUUGCCACAAGAAAUUACAUAUUUUGAGAAGCUUCUACAAGAUCUUGAUAUCAUUUGUGUUCUAUACCUUUAUCCUGUGCUUGAGAAGGUGCUUCCCUAAAUUGCACAACUCCGAAAAUUUGUACGUGAUUUGAUUUUCUUCUAGUGGUCACACUUACAUCCUUCAAGGAUCAUCCUUAUUAGUUAUUAUAGUAAAUUUGUCGAUUUAGCAUUGUAAUUGCUAUUUGCACUAUUAGGAGUAUCUCCUGGAAAAAAAAUCUUCUACAGACCAACGCGACUAAUGUAUGUGUGUUGUGUUAGAUAUAGAUUUGGUUAUGAGUUACUGCUUUUGUGGUGAUGGGGAAAUUAAUCAUUCGAGGAUCUUAACAUUGUAGUAUUUUGUGCAAAUUUGUGAAGUUCAACGUCUUAGUGUCAUGGCUCAAGACUAAAUUUUCUUGAGUUAUCACAUCAAAACAUGAAAUGUGAAAAUCAAACUGCUUUUGCUUACUUGAUUCUUUUGAGCGUGCAUAUGAAACAAUGGUUAUCUAUGUUGCUUGCCUAUGCUAUCAGCUACUAUGAUCUAUCUUUCAUACGUAUAUACACAUUAUGCUUGGACAUGUGUUGUUUGUGCGAAAGGAAACAUCUACUCCCUCAGUUCCUCAAUAUAAGUCUUUUUAGUGGUUUCAAAUGGACUACCACAUAUGGAUGUAUAUAGACAUAUUUUAGAGUGUAUAUUCACUCAUUUUGCUCCGUAUGUAGUCACUUGUUGAAAUCACUAGAAAGACCUAUAUUUAGGAACGGAGGGAGUAGUAUUUUGUAAUUCUUGAACUAAGGGUAGUCACUUAUUAAAUAUUUCUCCAUUUAAUUGAGUAAGAACAGUUCUUCAGAAAAUAUUAUCGUUUUCAUCUUCAGACAUCUUGAUAGGAAGCACCAGGGAAUGUUUGCAGUUUCAAUUUAUAUUGUACGUAAAGGAUUGUAGAUAUGCUCUCGGCCAGUGAAAACUUCUAAAUGAUUUAUGCACUAUGGCAGUGCCGCGGUGGAUACUUCUAAAUGACUGCACACAUGUUUUAUUAAGUCUUAUCAGUAUAGGGAGUUCAAUAAUCUUUUGGUGCUAAACAAGUGGAUGGUACAACUAAAUACUACUUCCUCCGUCCCAUAAUGUAGGACAUUUUUUGACACUAUAUGUGUUACAUUAUGGGAUAGAGGGAGUAAAUCAGUAAAACACUGUAGGAGUUUUACAAGCAAGCUUUGGGUAAAAAUAUUUUUGUAUUUUGUUGUUUAUUCCCAUUGGUCGAUCGAUAUGAGAUCAUCGAGUCAACUGUCAUCAUGCACAUAUAUUGUUACAUGGAAGAAAAAUAACUAGCUAGAGAACUUAUUUAUGUCUCCUUUCAUUUUGCUGCUAAGACAGACUGAAAGUGGAGUACUCUUCUAGAGUUUAAUUGUUAUUACAUGCUGCUUUUAUAAGGUUGGGGUCUUCAAUCUAGUUUUUACUUGAUAAGUUACCUUUUCUUAAGAAUAACAUGAAGCAUGGAUUCUUAUAUGUUCCAUGUAUAAUGUCAGGGCAAGUAAUUAUCAGCUGAGCAAAGGCUACAACAUGCUAGGAGGAGAAGUUUGAAUGGAGGCAGAGAGUACACUUGGUAAGUCAUAUAUCCAACCUGAACUUAUUUACUCAUUUAUUAUUUUUGUUCUAGUCUGAGUCCAAAAAUAUGGUUUGACAAACGGGGGUGACAUUCUGUACACACGUGCGCAUCUACCAUUCAUGCUUGUGAAAGCAUAUAAAAAAUUGAAUAUGGCCAAAUUUGGGUUCCAAGUUUUGCCAUGCUAUCAUGACAUUGUAUUAGUUUGCCCCCUUCAACAUGUAAAACUAUGAACCUGACCAUAUUUUAUUUGGAACAUUUAGAUGAUGUGUCAGAAGAAAAACAAAAGUCAACAAUGAGAAAGAAAACAAACGGCAAUCUACUUACAUCUGACGUGUAAAUUCUAAUGUGCCAAAAAUUUCUCUUUUCAGGAAAUAGAAUGGAAAAAGGAAGACGAGACUGAAGCACAAGAGCGAGAGGCUAGCGGAAGUUAAAGCAAUAAACUAUAAGCAUUUUGAAUGAUUAGGGCCUCGCGUUGUUGGGAACAUUACAGCCAUGGGGAAAGCUAUUUUUUGUUGCUACUUUAGCAUAGAAGCAACUAUAUGCUCAUUUUGCCCAUGCGUCGCAUCCAAAACAUAUGCAAUUUUCCGUUUGUUGCACAACACCCUUAUAUAUGGGCGUUUCUAGAAACCUAUGUAUUUGGUUGUUAAUUUUAUUGAAUGAAGUUAAGUUUUACUAUGAGGCCCAUAUGUGAAUUAUGAAAUUGUGUCAUUUGUUUUGAGUGCCUGGACAAAAUGAAUGCAUAUUAAAUUAGCGA
rnacentral:lncRNA from 1 species